GACGAACGCUGGCGGCGUGCCUAAUACAUGCAAGUUGAGCGCUGAAGGUUGGUACUUGUACCAACUGGAUGAGCAGCGAACGGGUGAGUAACGCGUGGGGAAUCUGCCUUUGAGCGGGGGACAACAUUUGGAAACGAAUGCUAAUACCGCAUAAAAACUUUAAACACAAGUUUUAAGUUUGAAAGAUGCAAUUGCAUCACUCAAAGAUGAUCCCGCGUUGUAUUAGCUAGUUGGUGAGGUAAAGGCUCACCAAGGCGAUGAUACAUAGCCGACCAGAGAGGGUGAUCGGCCACAUUGGGACUGAGACACGGCCCAAACUCCUACGGGAGGCAGCAGUAGGGAAUCUUCGGCAAUGGACGAAAGUCUGACCGAGCAACGCCGCGUGAGUGAAGAAGGUUUUCGGAUCGUAAAACUCUGUUGGUAGAGAAGAACGUUGGUGAGAGUGGAAAGCUCAUCAAGUGACGGUAACUACCCAGAAAAGGACGGCUAACUACGU
rnacentral:rRNA from 1 species